CAGUAGCCGCGGUAAUACGCAGGUGGCAAGCGUUGUCCGGAAUUAUUGGGCGUAAAGGGCUCGCAGGCGGUUUCUUAAGUCUGAUGUGAAAGCCCCCGGCUCAACCGGGGAGGGUCAUUGGAAACUGGGAAACUUGAGUGCAGAAGAGGAGAGUGGAAUUCCACGUGUAGCGGUGAAAUGCGUAGAGAUGUGGAGGAACACCAGUGGCGAAGGCGACUCUCUGGUCUGUAACUGACGCUGAGGAGCGAAAGCGUGGGGAGCGAACAGGAUUAGAUACCCCCGUAGUCCCUGUCUCUUAUAC
rnacentral:rRNA from 1 species